rnacentral:misc_RNA from 1 species
GAUGAAGAACGCAGCGAAAUGCGAUAAGUAGUGUGAAUUGCAGAAUUCAGUGAAUCAUCGAAUCUUUGAACGCACAUUGCGCCCCUUGGUAUCCCGAGGGACAUGCCUGUUCGAGCGUCAUUUCACCACUCAAGCCUGGCUUGGUGUUGGGCGACGUCCUCUUUGGGGACGCGCCUCGAAACGCUCGGCGGCGUGGCACCGGCUUUAAGCGUAGCAGAAUCUUUCGCUUUGGAAGUCGGGGCCCCGUCUGCCGGAAGACCUGCUCGCAAGGUUGACCUCGGAUCAGGCAGGGAUACCCGCUGAACUUAAGCAUAUCAAUAAGCGGAGGA